rnacentral:rRNA from 1 species
UACGUAGGGUGCGAGCGUUAAUCGGAAUUACUGGGCGUAAAGCGUGCACAGGCGGUUUUGUAAGCCAGAUGUGAAAUCCCCGGGCUUAACCUGGGAAUGGCAUUUGGGACUGCAAGGCUGGAGUACGGCAGAGGAGACUGGAAUUCCUGGUGUAGCAGUGAAAUGCGUAGAGAUCAGGAGGAAUACCGAUGGCGAAGGCAGGUCUCUGGGCUGAUACUGACGCUCAUGCACGAAAGCGUGGGGAGCAAACAGG